UACGGAGGGUGCGAGCGUUAAUCGGAAUUACUGGGCGUAAAGCGCACGUAGGCGGCUCGUUAAGUCAGCUGUGAAAGCCCCGGGCUCAACCUGGGAACGGCAGUUGAAACUGGGGAGCUCGAGUGUCACAGAGGAGAGCGGAAUUCCCGGUGUAGCGGUGAAAUGCGUAGAGAUCGGGAGGAACACCAAUGGCGAAGGCAGCUUUCUGGGUGCACACUGACGCUGAGGUGCGAAGGCGUGGGGAGCAAACAGG
rnacentral:rRNA from 1 species